rnacentral:rRNA from 1 species
GGUUGACCUCGGAUCAGGUAGGAAGACCCGCUGAACUUAAGCAUAUCAAUAAGCGGAGGAAAAGAAACCAACAGGGAUUGCCCUAGUAACGGCGAGUGAAGCGGCAACAGCUCAAAUUUGAAAUCUGGCUUCGGCCCGAGUUGUAAUUUGUAGAGGAUGCUUUGGGCGCGGCUCUAACUGAGUUCCCUGGAACGGGACGCCACAGAGGGUGAGAGCCCCGUAUAGUUAGAUGCCUAGCCUAUGUAAAGCUCCUUCGACGAGUCGAGUAGUUUGGGAAUGCUGCUCUAAAUGGGAGGUAAAUUUCUUCUAAAGCUAAAUAUUGGCCAGAGACCGAUAGCGCACAAGUAGAGUGAUCGAAAGAUGAAAAGCACUUUGAAAAGAGGGUUAAAUAGCACGUGAAAUUGUUGAAAGGGAAGCGCUUGUGACCAGACUUGCGCCGGGCAGAUCAUCCGGUGUUCUCACCGGUGCACUCUGCCCGGCUCAGGCCAGCAUCGGUUCUCGUGGGGGGAUAAAGGUCCCGGGAACGUAGCUCCUCCGGGAGUGUUAUAGCCCGGGGCGUAAUGCCCUCGUGGGGACCGAGGUUCGCGCAUCUGCAAGGAUGCUGGCGUAAUGGUCAUCAGCGACCCGUCUUGAAACACGGACCAAGGAGUCAAGGUUUUGCGCGAGUGUUUGGGUGUAAAACCCGCACGCGUAAUGAAAGUGAACGUAGGUGAGAGCUUCGGCGCAUCAUCGACCGAUCCUGAUGUAUUCGGAUGGAUUUGAGUAAGAGCGUUAAGCCUUGGACCCGAAAGAUGGUGAACUAUGCUUGGAUAGGGUGAAGCCAGAGGAAACUCUGGUGGAGGCUCGCAGCGGUUCUGACGUGCAAAUCGAUCGUCAAAUCUGAGCAUGGGGCGAACAGUGCUAAUGCGUGA